rnacentral:ncRNA from 1 species
GUACAACCAGCGUCCAAAUCUUGCCUCUGGCAUUUCCCUGUACGUUAGCGAUGACCGCAAGGUAGCAAUGGGUGUACCACCUAUAGCGUCAGAGUUCCCUGAUCAGGAUGGCGCUUAGGU